CUCACGCCCACAAACCGCCAAAAACUGUCAGUGUUGAAGACUCUCCUUCGCACUUCCACUAGCUGUGUAACGGGUAUCAGAUAGCCGGGGAACUCCACUAUAGCGUUCUCUCUUGUUUGAUUUGCAUGUGCUGCACGACAGUGUUACUUGCCAUGGUGGUUUGGGAGGACGAAAUAUAUAUAACAUUAUAGCACUUGACAUCUGUCACUCAAACAAUAUGGCCGCAAUGAGCUAUCAAAGUUCGAGCGUCCCUAUUGUAUAACCGUUUACGUUCGUAAAUUCGUUCCAAAUUGCAUAACAUGUAGUUCUGUGAAAUCACCUUCUGGAAAAGUUCAAGCGGAACUGCAUUCAAAGACAAGUAUACCGUGGCAUACGAUUCAUAUCGAUACAACGGGAAAAUUGAGCGGCUAGAGCGAUUUGAAAAAAUAGACACCGAAAGUUGUGUUAGUGCUGUGUAAUCUUCCCUAUCCUUGUUUGUUGUGCAAAUCUUAUGAUCGCCGAUCAGGAAAAAUGUUUCACCAGCUUUGCUACAGGAGCAAGUCGUGCAAAUGGGCAGGUCGAACGACUGAUGAGUACGGUAAAAAAAUUUGUUGUCAGUGAUAGAAUCGAGUCAACGAUCAUGGCAGGACGCUCUUGGCUAAGUUCAACUGGCACUGUGCUGUACCAUUUGUCGUGCCACUGAGGCAAGACCCCUUGGAUUAGUUCCCCCUUGUGAGAUUGAAUGCGAAAUAGAAUUGGCAAGCAUUGGAGCUCAUGCUACAAAAAAUAUGAAUUCCUUAGCGUCAUCAGUAAGGCAGCUGUUGUUAAGCACCUCGUAGGUGACUAUGUGUUAUUGAAAAAAGAUAAGAGUCACCAAACCAAAUUGGAUCCGAAAUUCAGAGGACCGUUUUUGGUAGUAUUUGAAGUAUACGCUGCAGUCAUUGAGAGGUAUCCGAACGUUCAAGUAUUGUCUUGAGAAUAUAAGAAAAAUGGCAAAUGUCAAAAUUCCAAACAAAUUGAAUAACGAAAAUAGAGAGAAACGCCCGCUAAUGAGUUCAGUUGCGUCCAAAAGUGACGAUGACCUGUGAGUUAUCCGUCGAGAUGAGACAAUGAGUGACUAUUGAAGAAUUAUCCGUCCAGGGGAAACGACGACAUAGAGUUAUUCGUCUAGGUAAGAGGAUGAGUAUGAUUUAAAUAAAUGAUUAACAAUGUGAUAACUGGCGGACGAUCAAUAUGUGGCUUAUAAUAAUAGGCAUUACUAAAACAAGUUGUUCAUUAAAGAAGGAGAAUAUGAAAAUGUAAUAAGUUAUUUCAGCAACAAUGAACCAGAUGCUGUUUUUAUUUGAAACACAAAAUGUAUGGAAUAGACCUAAUAAGUAAAAGUAAGAAUGAAAUGAAUUAAAAGUGACCGAAUUUUUACGAAAAUGUGUUAUCUCUGUAUGUGUUAUCUCAGUAUUGAAAUGUAAAUGUCAGAAUGGCCGUGUCGGGGCGAAAUUAAUGGGCAUGCACAUAGGCGUUAUUUGCUUCUUAUUCCGUUUGUGGCAAAGUAACUUGUGUUCCAGACUGUACUGUUUUUUCUUCUCCUUGUGUCAAUGUAUGUAUGGGAGUAAAACGACAAAUUAUCUGAGAAUGGGAAUAAAUGUGUUAUAGCGAGACCGAUAGAGGCUUGAGGACAGAGCGUCAAUUUAUAUUUAGAAGCCAAAGCAGAAAAGUGAACUCGUUGAUGCGCGCAGCCUUACAAAAUCGAUCCACUAUGGAAGAACCAAUGGACAACAAUACUCCAAAUCCUGACGACCCGAUAUAUACAUGUAUACAUGUCGGAGAAUUAUUUUGUAUUUCUAGACUUAAUUGUAGGAAGUUUCUUAGUGUAAUCAAGUAUGAAAAUAAAGAAAGAUCAAGGAUAAAGGAAGAAGAAAAGGACUGGAAAAGAGCUUUUCCAUGAGAGAGUGUGGCACAAUGUAAGAAAAAAAAAGAUAUUUAAAAUAUAGUAAUGCAGUUCGAGAACUCCGUCGAGAACAGUAGAACUACUUCAAAGAAAUAAAUAAUUGCGGAUCUACAUGGUCUUUCUUCUCCAACAUUCAUAUAUAAACAUAUACAUAUAUAGACAAGUAUACAUAUAUAACCAUAUAUCUGGAGUUUUAUUAUAAAUACUUUUAACUUUAUUAGUAUUUAAAGAUCCAUUAAUGAAGAACACCGUCGCCUUUAUUGACGUAUUGUCGCUCUUGCAGCCACACUGGCAGAACGCAAAACUUCCUUCCUCAACUAGCUUUAGGUCACUACCAAAUAGAUAUUAGGUCGUCAACAUCAUAUUGUCUGUACAUAUAUUGCACAUAUUCUUGCUCUCGUUCUACGGGUUCAUUAUCGGACUCUUCGGCUUCAUUCGUAACUCACUGCGUUCUUCGUUGAAAACUGCUACAGCCGCUUUGUCUAUCAAGUCUCGUACCUGUAGAUCAUCUUUCGUUCGCAUUUUGACACCAACUAGUAGCUCAAAAGGCGUCAUAUUUAUGAUUCUGGUAAAUGUUGUGUUGAUCGCUUGCUGUAAUCUGUUGAAUUAUAUAUCCUGAAUUAAAAAUCCUGUCCGUUAACCCUUGUUGCGUCAGUAGUCGUCUUCACUAGCUUUAUUCACUCGCCGUCGCAAUUUUUAACAAAGUUUUGAUAUGUAAAUGCCGGACUCCAUUCGUUAUAAUGAAUGCUAAGUUGCCAAUGCUGACACUUUGGUUUCUGACCUCGUUUGCUGUGGUUAACUUCGUUGGAUAGAGCCACCCAAGUUUCGUAAAGGAAUCGAUUACAGCCAAACAGCGUUGACUUGAGCGGACCCAAGAAGUAAAUGUGGUAUGUUAAAAAUGGAACGUCUUCUUUCUGGAAUGGGUGGUGUAGUAGAUUGCUUGCUUCAUUUGCGAUCCGUUAAAAUGCAUAGAAUACAGCACUCAAUAUACUUUUAUUAGGCACUACUAUUAGCUCAUCGUCACCGGAGACCGGCAUUGCCAACAAUCAAGCAUCGUUGACACCUAGCUGACACUGAUGAAAGAUGAACGGUUGAGCGAGACGGUGGGCCAACGGCAGGACUACUAAUUAUUCUAAACGAUAAUAGUAAUGAAUUGAUUUCAACCGAAAAGUGUGUUAUGUCACUGAAGAAGCGGGUUAUUACAUACAGCAUACCUGUUUUUAAUCAUCGUAUGCAUUUUUUCAUUGCUUAAAAAUUCUUUGAUGGCUCUAAUCUUUCCGCCGCCUGCAUGCGUAUCUUUCAUGCGUAUAUUUUCCCUUAUAAGCAUCACUGGAUAUCGGCUGAGAGCAUCGACAUAUUUCAUUCGCAUGCCAGAUUAAUGUAUAGUUAUAGUUUUAUUUUUGUAGAAAACGAAUGCAGCGAGCCACCCUGUUGCAUAAGCUUUGUUUUUCUAAAGUUUUAGUGAAAGCGUUGCAGUCAAUACAGCCUAACCAAUACUAAACUUAGUCAAAGCUUCGAUGACUGCCAAUAAUUCUAGCUUAUAGCUACAGUAUUUACGCUCUGCAUCUGUGGUCUUUUUCUUUACAUAAAAUACACAGAAUGCAGUUGAACAUCGUCGACGUUCAUCUGUAAUAAAAACUGAUCCGAAUCCAACAAUAGUCUCAUUAUAAAUACUGAAAACAGGGUUCUUAGUUAGAACUUUUUCAACUUCUUUAACUGCAUUCUCUUCGUCUAAAUCAAAUUUAAACUUAGCCUUAUUUUGUAAACUCAGUUAAAGGUGAAUCUAUCCCUCCGUAAUUUGGUAUAAACUUCCAGAAAUAGCCCGUCAAGCCCAAAAAACUGUUUAAUGUCUAAAAAAUUUUAAUAGUUUGGGGUACUAGAACUUGGAAACAGCUUCGAUUAUCUCAGAUGAGUGGUAUAUUCAGCUAUUUUUUAUAACUUUGUAUCCUUAGUAAGGACUCAGGCCGAGGGAGGGGCAUCCGACGUUCGGACACCACCGUAAGCUUGUCGAUUUUGGGUCGUGGGGUCUUGGAAAGCCCCUAACCUCUCCAACAUAACGAGAAUAAAUAUAUUAGUGCCUGUAAAAGUUCGAACCGUUCGUCAGUCAGCAGUCUUUACUGCCCCACAAGCUGUAGCUUGAUCGUAAAUCGAUCGGGCAACGUUUCGGCCACAUUCCCUGCUCUUCAUGCGUCCGCAUGCCUGAUAGAACGAUCCCCUUUCUGUCAUGGCUAGUGCCAUGUGUACUGUGUAAUACAAAAAUUAGAGGCUAACAUACAAAGAUUAUAA